rnacentral:rRNA from 1 species
UCAGGUAGGGAUACCCGCUGAACUUAAGCAACU